UAGUCCACGCCGUAAACGAUGUCUACUAGCCGUUGGGGUACUUGAGACCUUAGUGGCGCAGCUAACACACUAAGUAGACCGCCUGGGGAGUACGGCCGCAAGGUUAAAACUCAAAUGAAUUGACGGGGGCCCGCACAAGCGGUGGAGCAUGUGGUUUAAUUCGAUGCAACGCGAAGAACCUUACCAGGUCUUGACAUCCAGAGAACUUUCCAGAGAUGGAUUGGUGCCUUCGGGAGCUCUGUGACAGGUGCUGCAUGGCUGUCGUCAGCUCGUGUCGUGAGAUGUUGGGUUAAGUCCCGCAACGAGCGCAACCCUCGACGUUAGUUGCCAGCAUUAAGUUGGGGACUCUAACGUGACUGCCGGUGAUAAACCGGAGGAAGGUGAGGACGACGUCAAGUCAUCAUGCCCCUUACGUCUUGGGCUACACACGUCCUACAAUGGCGCAAACAAAGAGCAGCGAAGUCGCGAGGCCAAGCGAAUCUCAUAAAUUGCGUCUCAGUUCGGAUUG
rnacentral:rRNA from 1 species